GCCCGUCUGGUCUAGUGGUUAGGGCGCCGCCAACCUUUGUCGGACACUAUAUAUAUAUGUCCCUCCCUUAUUUCCUUUGUCCUGUCUGGCAAAGGUACGCGGCGGAGACCCGGGUUCGACCCCCGGGAUGGGCA